rnacentral:rRNA from 1 species
GACGAACGCUGGCGGCGUGCUUAACACAUCCAAGUCGAACGAAGUGGCGAACGGGUGAGUAACGCGUAAUCAACCUGCCCUUCAGAGGGGGACAACAGUUGGAAACGACUGCUAAUACCGCAUACGGAAGAUGGGGCUUGGGUCUGAUUAGCGAGUUGGAGGGGUAACGGUCCACCAAGGCGAUGAUCAGUAGCCGGUCUGAGGGGAUGAACGGCCAAAUUGGGACUGAGACACGGCCCAGACUCCUACGGGAGGCAACAGUGGGGAAUCUUCCGCAAUGGACGAAAGUCUGACGGAGCAACGCCGCGGGAGUGAUGACGGCCUUCGGGUUGUAAAGCUCUGUUAAUCGGGACGCGGUACCGGAAUAGAAAGCCACGGCUAACUACGUGCCAGCAGCCGCGGUAAUUC